CAUAUAGACCACAGCUGAGACCCCCAAAGGCAGAUAAAAGGUGGUCGCUUUGAAGUAGAGCUCUGAAGUUGCUCCAUGUGCUGGAGCAGAUAUGUUGAAGCAGGAGGGAGCAGCACUCAAAGCAAGCAGCAGAAGGCAGCAGCAUUUGGAAGCAGAAAGAAGCAUUGGCCAAAUGGGGCCCCUUGACCAGCAGACCAAGUGAAGCUCCUCACUGCCAAAGAUGACUCCCUCUCGUGGACACUAGGAAUGGAUGAUUCAGCAGCCAGAGGUGGAACACUUAAGGACUUGGGCAAAAUCCAGGAUAGGGAGCAAAGUACUUGCAGAACUGAAUAAAGACCCCUGACUGCCCCACCCAUCCUGCCUCCCCACAAUCCUAGAUUACACUGAAAAUGUUUCAAUAAUUUUUGAAAUUACUCUACGUCUCUGAAAGUAACACAUUCCCUCUGAAUCACAUUCCCCCCUGAAUUCUGUUCAACAGUAAAGAUGGCUUAUCAGUGCAUAUGCUUUGUAAAUUCUUGCCCCCUUGGACAUCGUGUACCAUCCAUUACCAUCAAAAGUCUUUUUAAUGACAUUUAGUCAAUGGGACCACCAUCCAUUAUUAAAAAUUAAAUGAUAGUGUCUGGGGCCGAGAAAUCCAGAAAACAGGAAGUGUUUUCUUUUCAAUUUUUUUUGCCUU